AGACCUCUCUCCCGCAGGUGCCUGGCUCCGCCCUGUCCCGUCGCACGCGGACGCGCCCAGCAGGGGGCGCCGUCGCCGUGCUCUUGGAGCCGCUGUUCCUUCCACGCGCACCUGCAGUGGGGCGGAAAGGGGCGCGGCCUGGAAUGCGGACAAACCCUCCAGCCCGCUUUCCGGAAGGGGCCCGGGGCGAGUUUAAGCGUAACUUAGACCCGCCCUCGCUGCAGCCGGACGGAAAUUCCCAUCCCGCUGGAACAGGCGAGGGCGCCGAGGAACCCAGAGGACUGCAGCAGGGGGCGCAGGUGUCCGUCCACAAGCUACCUUCCUAGGUGACAGCUCCUGCCAGAGAGCCUCCCAGUAUAUUCCUGCAGGAACGCAGCGCCACGCUCUUCCUGGAGUGGGCGAAAGAUCUAAUAAACUCGAGUUCCUACACGCCGGUUUCAUUAAUGUUACGAAAGCAAACUUUAUCAUUUGCCCGCCGCUCCUUUUUUCGAGGCGGGAGAGGGCGGUAAGAGGCACAGACUCGGUCCCGUAUGCCAUUCUUCCGUCCUCGAAGCACCGAGCAACUACGGAUGAAGUGAGAGCACAUCUCGGCACUGCUUCAAGAGGCCGGGGUGGGAAGGGGGGCAUCUGCGGAAAUAGAUGCUUCCUGUUGUACCCAUGUGAUGGCUGCGAUGUCCUACGAGUUCAUCUGUCCGCCCAACUGUAGUUGUUCAAGUUUUCCUACACCCGCUAAGGGACCAGGUGUGCAGUGUCACCGAAAACCUUUCAAAAAGGCCAAGUCCUUCGAGCCGGAUUCGAACCAGCGACCUAAGGAUGACCACAACCACACGCCUACAGUCCUCCGCUCUACCAACUGAGCUAUUGAAGGCUUGGUGAGAGAGAGAGAGUGCACAAGCAGGGGAGAGGGGCAGGGGGGAGAGAGAAUCUUCAGCAGGUUCCGACACCAGGGCUCGGCUCGAUCUCACACACCACGAGAUCCUGACCUGAGCCAAAAUCAAGAGUCAAAUGCUUAACCAACCGAGCCCCCCAGGAGCCCCUGACUUUUACUGUGUUUAAAUUACAUUUCAAUAGAAGUAAUUAAAAACAAAAGAAAACUGGUCAUCCAUACGGAAACUUCAACACCAACUCGAUGCCAUUGCUAAGCAGUCUGUUUCUUGCUGCCCACGGCCUCCUUAGCACCGAUUCCCAACUUACUCUGUUUACUUGUUCUUUUACCCAUAGUACUUACUAUUUGCAGCGCAUUAUGCAAUUACACAAAUUUGUGUUUAUCCUAUUUUUAAAUCUCCAGUGCGUUCAAGCUGAUGUUUUGUAUCACAUACAAGAGUUUUAGUCGUCCUAAAUGUCACAUUUGGACAGACCUAGUUGCAUUUAUGAAAAGCCGCGUAGAAACAGAUGCAAAUCCUUCACCAGCGAAGGAACCAGCGUGCGUCACUCAGAGAUGCUAGACUUUCAGCAAACUGACGUUCUCAUGGACUUUUAUGUUGUCUCCCCCCAGGGGAAGCCAAGCGUGUUUGGCUUUUAGGAAGGAGGGUGGGCAGAAUCGUUGGUGGCUGCGUGGUGAGCUGUAAUGGACACUAUUGGUUUUCAAAAAUCUCCUGACAUUGUGUUGUACCAUAUCUAAGAUUAGAGUUCUUUACUCCUUUAGAAAUAGAUGUGGCCGUGUGACACAACUGUUUUGACAAAUGAGAUGUCCCUCCUGGAAGUUGGAGAGCCAGUGAGCCAUCCACCACACCCCUCUUGACCCUUCCCCUGACAAAAUAUGAUCUGAGUUGUUGGGGAUCCACAAGGAGCCCACUAGGCAAACCAUGACUGAUUUAUAUGACGCCGAAGAGUUUCCGGUUACGAGCCAUCAUGAUUUGCAGAGGGGGAAUGCUUGUGACGGCAGUGUAACCUACCCUACUCAGGCGGACACAUACAGGAAAUGUGCAAGUCUGAAUCCACGCAGAAGGCUCAUUCUCCUCCUAGGAAAACACCCAACAGAAAUGUGUGAGCUUCUGCACCAAGAGAUAUGUAUGGUAAGAGGGUUCAAAGAUUCGUUGGUUGGUUGGUUUCCAAUUGUCCGUGUUCUAUCGCUGAGUGAAAGAAAAGUUCAGUGACGUUGGCCGAGA